rnacentral:rRNA from 1 species
CCUACGGGAGGCAGCAGUGGGGAAUAUUGGGCAAUGGAGGAAACUCUGACCCAGCGACGCCGCGUGCGGGAUGAAGGCCUUCGGGUUGUAAACCGCUUUCAGUAGGGAAGAAGCGAAAGUGACGGUACCUACAGAAGAAGCACCGGCUAACUAUGUGCCAGCAGCCGCGGUAAUACAUAGGGUGCAAGCGUUGUCCGGAAUUAUUGGGCGUAAAGAGCUCGUAGGUGGUUCGUCACGUCGGAUGUGAAAAUCUGGGGCUCAACCCCAGACCUGCAUUCGAUACGGGCGAUCUAGAGUGUGGUAGGGGAGACUGGAAUUCCUGGUGUAGCGGUGGAAUGCGCAGAUAUCAGGAGGAACACCAAUGGCGGAGGCAGGUCUCUGGGCCAUUACUGACACUGAGGAGCGAAAGCGUGGGGAGCGAACAGGAUUAGAUACCCUGGUAGUCCACGCCGUAAACGGUGGGCACUAGUUGUGGGAACCUUCCACGGUUUCUGCGACGCAGCUAACGCAUUAAGUGCCCCGCCUGGGGAGUACGAUCGCAAGAUUAAAGCUCAAGGAAUUGACGGCUGAGAGNGCGAGACGACGACGAGGGAGGAGG